rnacentral:lncRNA from 1 species
UAUAUUUUUAAAUCUAAUUAUAAAAAUUAAAAUUCUGUAUUUUUACACAUAGUCUUUUUAUAUUAUUUAGAUUGCAUGUAUUGAAUUAAAUUUUAUUUUUAUAAUAUUUAUUAUUUAAAAAUAGGUUGUACAGCAAAAGAUAAGGAAGAGAUUGAUGGAAAAUGAGUGAGAGAGAGGAGGAGAGAAUAAUUGAGUUAAAAACUAAGAAAACUUCAAAUACCCCCUGUGGUUUUGCACUUUCUCACUUUAGUACCAUGAUAGUUUAAAGUGUAUCAAGUUAGUACCAUGUGGUUUCGACUUUCUCACUUUAGUAUCAUGUGGUUUAAAGUGUAUAAAGUUAGUACCCUAUGGUUUCAUUUUUGUAUCAAGUUAGUACGAUAUGUUUUCAUUUUUCUUUUUUCAUUAUCCAUUUCGGGAUUUUUUUUAUUAAAUUAGUGACAAAGUUAUAACUAAAUAGUACUAAAAUGAAUAUUCCAUAAACCUGGGUAGGGUAUCUGAAGUUUUUUAUAUAUAAUUUAACGAAAUAUUAAACCACAUGGUACUAAAGUGAGAAAUUGUGAAACCACAAGGUACUAACUUGAUACACUUUAAACCACAGGGUACUAAAGUAAGAAAAUGUGAAACCACAAGGUACUAACUUGAUACACUUUAAACCACAAGGUACUAAAGUGAGAAAGUGCGAAACCACAGGAGGGGUGUUUGAAGUUUUCCCUUAAAAAAGGGUACAUUACACCAAUAGUUCCGAACCUUUUCCUAAUUUUCUUUUAAUUGGGUCCAUAGCUUGUUUUCUAUCAAUUGAGUCUCCAGUUUAUAGAAAUUUUUUUCAAUUGGGUCUCUAGUGUCAACCAUCCGUUGUAAUUGACAAAAGUCGGCACGUAAGUGCUGACGUGGCAGUAAGUUG